rnacentral:rRNA from 1 species
GAUGAACGCUAGCGGGAGGCUUAAUACAUGCAAGUCGAGCGGCAAGGUCUUCGGACCCUAGAGCGGCGCACGGGUGAGUAACGCGUACGCAAUCUGCCCUUCAGUGAGGAAUAGCCCUGGGAAACUGGGAUUAAUACCUCAUAAUAUUAAUUGUCUGCAUGGAUGAUUAAUUAAAGUUCUGGCGCUGAAGGAUGAGCGUGCGUCUGAUUAGCUAGUUGGUAGGGUAACGGCCUACCAAGGCGACGAUCAGUAGGGGGCGUGAGAGCGUGACCCCCACA